ACCUUCUGGACCGGAACCUUCUGGACCGGAACCUUCUGGACCGGAACCUUCUGAUGUUUUUCUCAUCGGAUUCAGGAAGGAGGAGCAGGAUCUGGAGAUCUGGAGAGCCGGGGCCCCGUCACCAGGCAGUGUGUCCUCCAGGGCCCCUGGGUCCUCUGGGUCCCCGGCGCUGUGGCGUCUCCGUGGCCCCCAGGUCCUCUAACGGGACGUUUCCUUCUGAUCCGGUCGCCGUGACGCUCUGACACGGCCCGGUCCUGACGGUGGCCGUCCCUUCAGGAGUUAAUUAACAACCCCAUCAAAGCCGACCCCAACACGGCUCAGAGGAGGAAGUACAGGCCCCCGGCCUUUGAUUGGUCCGUCUGCAGGGGCCUCCAGUUCUGUUUGAUGGCGAGUAAUUGCUGCUGCCUGAUGGAGGAUCUUAGAGAAGAUCUGCUGGAAGAAGAUCUUCAGACGGACUGCAGGAGACCCUCUGACUCCAGAGAAUCAGAGUUUGGUUCCAGCAGCUGGUUCUUCUGGGUGAAUCUGUUCCAGUCUGUAUCAUCUGGACUUUAACCAGCCACAAAGAAAACUCACGAAGAAGAAGCAGCAGGUACCGCUCACCUUGUGACGUCACCACCCUGCUGUUCCUGUCGAGGAUCGUUUCCGUCGUCCUGUUUCAUAUGCAGCAGCCCUGACCUCUGACCCCUGACCAGCCUGAGUCCUUCUUGUGAUGAAGGUCAACAGGCAUCCGACAAUCUGUUCGCCCUCCUUCCACUUAAACCUCCUGCUACCUCUGACUGAGGAGGAGGAGCAGGAGGAAGAUGACUUCCAGCAGAAACAUGUGGCGGCAGAGGGAGGAGAGGAUAUUUUUGGCUCCUCUUGAUGAGGGAAAGUUGUAGGCGGAGUUUCAGUGGCUGAUUUUGACGAGCUGUGAUGAGGAGCCCUUCGUCUCUCUGGGAGCCGACCCCCUGCCUCCUCUUCAUCAGACCCGGCCCGACUCGGAGCAAUCAGGGGCUCGACGGGCUCCCCGAGGGGCCGAGGAGAGAACCGGAGUCAGCAGCUAUCGCAGAACCAGAUGCUGCUGCUGCUGCUGCUGCAGGUUUCGCCGCUCCGCCUCCUGAAGGAAACGUCCCAGUGAGUCACCAGCUGGGCUGUUAGGAAACUUUGUUUGGAUCUCUGCGGCUGUUUGGACUAAUCUGGGAGGAGCUGUUGUGACUGCGGCUUCCUCUGGAAACAUUCCCGCCGUGACUCACCUUCCAAACUUAGCUCGGCCGUGAACCGCCGGUCUGGAGGCGCGACGCCACCGAUGCCACCGCCGGCUGAGGAAUGAGUCAGGAGGAAGCAACGACCAAUCAGGAGGAAGCAACGACCAAUCAGGAGGAGGCAACGACCAAUCAGGAGGAAGCAACGACCAAUCAGGAGGAGGCAACGACCAAUCAGGAGGAAGCAACGACCAAUCAGGAGGAGGCAACGACCAAUCAGGAG